rnacentral:rRNA from 1 species
GAUAGCUCAGUAACACGUGGCCAAACUACCCUCUGGACGGGAAUACCCUCGGGAAACUGAGGCUAAUUCCCGAUACUACUCGGCGCCUGGAACGGCCCGAGAGCCAAACGCUCCGGCGCCAGAGGCUGUGGCUGCGGCCGAUUAGGUAGACGGUGGGGUAACGGCCCACCGUGCCAGUAAUCGGUACGGGUUGUGAGAGCAAGAGCCCGGAGACGGUAUCUGAGACAAGAUACCGGGCCCUACGGGGCGCAGCAGGCGCGAAACCUUUACACUGCACGCCAGUGCGAUAAGGGGAUCCCCAGUGCGAGGGCAUACAGUCCUCGCUUUUCACCACCGUACGAUGGUGGUGGAACAAGAGCUGGGCAAGACCGGUGCCAGCCGCCGCGGUAAUACCGGCAGCUCGAGUGAUGGCCGUUCUUAUUGGGCCUAAAGCGUCCGUAGCCGGCCAAGUAAGUUCGUCGGGAAAUCCACGCGCUCAACGCGUGGGCGUCCGGCGAAACCUGCUUGGCUUGGGACCGGACGGCCCGAGGGGUACGGCCGGGGUAGGAGUGAAAUCCUGUAAUCCCGGCCGGACCACCGGUGGCGAAAGCGCCUCGGGAGGACGGAUCCGACGGUGAGGGACGAAAGCCAGGGUCACGAACCGGAUUAGAUACCCGGGUAGUCCUGGCUG